AGUGAACGCUGGCGGUAGGCCUAACACAUGCAAGCCGAACGGCAGCACAGUAAGAGCUUGCUCUUACGGGUGGCGAGUGGCGGACGGGUGAGGAAUACAUCGGAAUCUACUUUUUCGUGGGGGAUAACGUAGGGAAACUUACGCUAAUACCGCAUACGACCUACGGGUGAAAGCAGGGGAUCUUCGGACCUUGCGCGAUUGAAUGAGCCGAUGUCGGAUUAGCUAGUUGGCGGGGUAAAGGCCCACCAAGGCGACGAUCCGUAGCUGGCCUGAGAGGAUGAUCAGCCACACUGGAACUGAGACACGGUCCAGACUCCUACGGGAGGCAGCAGUGGGGAAUAUUGGACAAUGGGCGCAAGCCUGAUCCAGCCAUACCGCGUGGGUGAAGAAGGCCUUCGGGUUGUAAAGCCCUUUUGUUGGGAAAGAAAAGCAGCAGGUUAAUACCCCGCUGUUCUGACGGUACCCAAAGAAUAAGCACCGGCUAACUUCGUG
rnacentral:rRNA from 1 species